rnacentral:lncRNA from 1 species
CAGAUAUUUAAUUCGUAGAUAUUUACGACGAGGCGUUGUUAUUUAGCAAGAGCCGAUGGGAUAAUUAAAGAUCCAGAUUACACAAAUCAAAUAAUAUAAAUACAGCAGAUUAUUUCCUUCCUCUGCAGCACCAUUUCAUGGCAAGCCAUGCUAAGGUACAGAAGUAGCUGAACAUUCAGCCACCCUAUUCCUGCCUUCCAUCUUUUCCAAGUCCCUCAAAUGAAGUAUAGCCAACAACUUCUUCCUUCAUAUUUUCAGCAGAUAAAUCUCCUCUUCAUUUCUUCCUUCUUCGUGCAUCAUCAAGCAAAAUGAGGAUCUUCAUUCAGCUGCUGCCUGAUUUCAAGGGUAAGACUUUGCCCUACAUUCUCCAUAAUCGUUCCUGAUAUUGUUUAAAGAACAAAAUAUGAUUCUAUUUCAGUUCGUCUCCACUGCAUUCAACUCGACAACAGCCAACCAAGAAAGCAUUCAAGGUUAUUCAAUCCCAUGUUUCAUUCCAACAAAACACAUUUUCAGUUUAUUAGAAAUACUGAGUAAUGAGAUGCAUAGACAUAGCAUAAUCGUUUAUCCCUAUGCAAUCAAUAACUUUAGGAACUUUCUUUAUAUGAGAAACGUAGGAUAAUAGUUCAUGCUUACACAAAAUCCAACGGAGAAACAAUUGAAAUACUGAGCAUGGAGCUCAUUAUUAUUCUGCUGCUAGGAUAGUUACCUUUUGUGAGGAACUUCCACUUUUACUUGUGAGAAACCGGGGUGGGGAAAGAACGCGGGAUGCCUGCGAGAAGUCGACGGCGGGAGAAGUAAAGGAGAUGGCAAUCACCGGAACUCGAUGGCGGCAGCAGCGCUCUCAGAAGAGAUCAAGUCAAACGGGAUGGUAGGACAGAGCAGCGUCCACUCGUUGGACUUCACCGAGUCGACGGCGUGGCGAUACAUCAGCAGGUCGAUGAACCCCAAACCGACGCCUGCCUCGGCGAUCCACAGACGGACCUCAGCGCGGCGAGCUAUGACGAUAAAAUUAGGGCUUUUAUUUUGGGGGUUCUUCAAGAGGUAUAUAGAGUGUGAAAAGAGAAGGGGGAGGGUGGCGGUGCCGCUCGCCGGUCUUCCAUUUUAGAGGCGGCGGCAGCGAACCUCGCCGACGGCUGGAGUAAUCAGGAGCCGCGGCGGGAGAAAUCCGCGAGAAAAGAAGGCGAGCUCGAAAUUCAGAACGAAUGAGAGAAGCUCCGGUGCGAGACAUCGGUCUACACCGGAGAAAAGACGCAGACUCGCCGGAAAUUGCAGGGGGCGGAGCGGCGAUUUCUGAGGAUGAAGCUAGAGCUCGAUCUUUAUCUUCUUGGAGGGGAAAUCGAUGAAGCAGAGAGAUGAACAGAAGUGAGAGACGCCGGAUUUCAGAGACGAAGCGCGGCCUUGCCGGAAGUUAAGAGACGCGAAGGCGCGAUGGAUUUGGCAGAGAGAUGGGCGGUUGUUCUGUUGUGAACCGAAUUGAGAUGAGAGAGAGAGAGAGAGAGAGAGAGCGAGAGUGAUGAAGGCCUUCAGCCAUGAUUAGAGUGAGGGAGAAUUGGGCCAGUAUUUUUUUUCUAAGUUGGGCCUCUGCAUUAUUUCAGUUGGGCCGCAUUCUUGGACCAGGAUUUAAUGGAGAUGGGCUUAUCUGAGCUAUAUAUUUCAGCUGGACCAGAGUUAGAGAGGGCCUAUUUUUCUUUUGUAUUAAUUGAGCCCAAGUAUUUAUUAAAGUAGAGUGAGCUGGUU